rnacentral:rRNA from 1 species
AGAGUUUGAUCCUGGCUCAGGACGAACGCUGGCGGCGUGCUUAACACAUGCAAGUCGAACGAUGAAGCCUAGCUUGCUAGGUGGAUUAGUGGCGAACGGGUGAGUAAUACGUGAGUGACCUACCUUUGACUCUGGGAUAAGCCUGGGAAACUGGGUCUAAUACCGGAUACGACCAAUCUCCGCAUGGGGUGUUGGUGGAAAGCGUUAUGGAGUGGUUUUAGAUGGGCUCACGGCCUAUCAGCUUGUUGGUGAGGUAAUGGCUUACCAAGGCGACGACGGGUAGCCGGCCUGAGAGGGUGACCGGCCACACUGGGACUGAGACACGGCCCAGACUCCUACGGGAGGCAGCAGUGGGGAAUAUUGCACAAUGGGCGCAAGCCUGAUGCAGCGACGCCGCGUGAGGGAUGACGGCCUUCGGGUUGUAAACCUCUGUUAGCAUCGAAGAAGCGAAAGUGACGGUAGGUGCAGAGAAAGCGCCGGCUAACUACGUGCCAGCAGCCGCGGUAAUACGUAGGGCGCGAGCGUUGUCCGGAAUUAUUGGGCGUAAAGAGCUUGUAGGCGGUUGGUCGCGUCUGCUGUGAAAGGCUGGGGCUUAACCCCUGGUUUUGCAGUGGGUACGGGCUAACUAGAGUGCAGUAGGGGAGACUGGAAUUCCUGGUGUAGCGGUGGGAAUGCGCAGAUAUCAGGAGGAACACCGAUGGGCGAAGGCAGGUCUCUGGGCUGUAACUGACGCUGAGAAGCGAAAGCAUGGGGAGCGAACAGGAUUAGAUACCCUGGUAGUCCAUGCCGUAAACGUUGGGCACUAGGUGUGGGGGACAUUCCACGUUUUCCGCGCCGUAGCUAACGCAUUAAGUGCCCCGCCUGGGGAGUACGGCCGCAAGGCUAAAACUCAAAGAAAUUGACGGGGGCCCGCACAAGCGGCGGAGCAUGCGGAUUAAUUCGAUGCAACGCGAAGAACCUUACCAAGGCUUGACAUAUACUGGACUGCGUCAGAGAUGGCGUUUCCCUUCGGGGCUGGUAUACAGGUGGUGCAUGGUUGUCGUCAGCUCGUGUCGUGAGAUGUUGGGUUAAGUCCCGCAACGAGCGCAACCCUCGUUCUAUGUUGCCAGCACGUGAUGGUGGGGACUCAUAGGAGACUGCCGGGGUCAACUCGGAGGAAGGUGGGGAUGACGUCAAAUCAUCAUGCCCCUUAUGUCUUGGGCUUCACGCAUGCCACAAUGGCCGGUACAGAGGGUUGCGAUACUGUGAGGUGGAGCUAAUCCCUAAAAGCCGGUCUCAGUUCGGAUUGGGGUCUGCAACUCGACCCCAUGAAGUCGGAGUCGCUAGUAAUCGCAGAUCAGCAACGUUGCGGUGAAUACGUUCCCGGGCCUUGCACACACCGCCCGUCA